UUUCCGUAGGGUAUGUCACCUCCCGCCCCCCAUUUUGACGCCCUCGACGGCCUGCUAACGUGUUCACAGUGAACCUGCGGAAGGAUCAUUACCGAGUGGUGGGCUCUGCCCCCCUUACGACUCCCUGAUUAUCGCACCUGUUGCCUCGGCGGGUGCCCGCCUCAGCGCGGGCCCUGGGCCUCGCCGCCCGCCGGGCUCACUUUAGACCCUUUUGUGACCUGUCUGAGUGGAUAUUUGAGAAUGAAGCAAAACUUUCAACAAUGGAUCUCUUGGUUCUGGCAUCGAUGAAGAACGCAGC
rnacentral:misc_RNA from 1 species